GGGAAUAUUGCGCAAUGGCCGAAAGGCUGACGCAGCGACGCCGCGUGGGGGAUGAAGCAUUUCGGUGUGUAAACCCCUGUUGCCCGGGACGAACAAGCAGAUUUUUCUGCUCUGACGGUACCGGGCGAGGGAGCACCGGCUAACUCCGUGCCAGCAGCCGCGGUAAUACGGAGGGUGCGAGCGUUGUCCGGAAUCACUGGGCGUCAAGGGAGCGUAGGCGGUCUGCUAAGCGUGCGGUGAAAGCCCGGGGCUCAACCCCGGGUCUGCCGUGGGAACUGGUGGCCUAGAGCACUGUAGAGGCAGGUGGAAUUGCGGGUGUAGCGGUGGAAUGCGUAGAGAUCCGGAAGAACACCGGUGGCGAAGGCGGCCUGCUGGGCAGUAGCUGACGCUGAGGAGCGACAGCGUGGGG
rnacentral:rRNA from 1 species